UACGGGGGGGGCAAGCGUUGCUCGGAAUUAUUGGGCGUAAAGGGUAGGUAGGUGGUCUCAUUUGUCUGGGGUGAAAGCCUUGAGCUUAACUCAAGAAGUGCCCCAGAAACGGUGAGACUAGAGUUCUGGAGAGGGUCGUGGAAUUCCCGGUGUAGCGGUGAAAUGCGUAGAUAUCGAGAGGAACACCUGCGGCGAAGGCGGGUUGCUGGGCUGAUACUGACGCUGAGGCGCGAAAGCCAGGGGAGCGAACGGG
rnacentral:rRNA from 1 species